UUGCGAAAGUUGUUUCCUCGAUUUCAUCUUUCAUUUGUGUUUGAGGUAUUGUACAGAGAAUACUUCUGCUGUUAUAAAGGGAAUCGUCUAGUUUUUUGCUAACUAGACUUUUUUCAACAGCCAAAACAUGAGGGCUAAGUGGCGUAAGAAGCGUAUGCGAAGGCUAAAGCGAAAACGCAGGAAGAUGCGUGCGAGAUCUAAGUAGAUGUAUAUUAUGGAAUUUCAUCAGUUUUUUCACUCUGGGGAGUUUCUGUUGAAACAUUCAAAACUUCAAAAUUCAUCCAGUGACUACUUGUAUCAUUGACAUGUACAUUGUGAUGACACCAAAAAAAUAAUAAAAAUAUUUAAAAAAAA